UCAGCAAACUGAAGAACCCUCUGUGAUAAACUUACUGAAGCUGAGAGGCUAAACUUGAGUUGUAUGUGAGUGAGAGCUCAGAGGUCUGCUAAGGUACAGCUAGCAGACUUUGCGCUAAAUGUCCAGAUUAGUUUUGCCCAUCUUCUAAUAAAGUUCUGAGCACAACUUGUUAUAAUAAAUUAUGUGUGACCUA